rnacentral:misc_RNA from 1 species
CUUGAUUGUGAUGAAGAUCUUAAGUUCGAUAAAAGUAACUAAAGGAAUAAUCAAAAUCACCCUGAAGAUGAUUAUAGUGUUGAAUUCGAAGUAGCUAAUGAUGUUAACCAGGCCUUAAAUUAAAUGUUUCCUAGAAGCAAGGAAAUAUAUUUUGAGAACUUCUCCCGGUGCAAAAUUCAGAGCAAGGCAUCGCAGAGGUCAGAAUUUUUGUUGGAGAUUCGGAGGAAAAAGCUUAAUUAACCAAUUAGACAUUCUUGAUGAAGAUGAUCAUCUUAUGGAUUUCGUUUUACAGACUAAAAAUUAUGGCUCUGACCA